UUAGGUGAAAUGACUUUUCAAUUACGUGUAUUCGAUUUCUUAUCGUUCUGUAGAAGGUACGGUCCAUAUAUGAAUUUUGAAUUUUGCAUGUGUUUUUUUAGUUUCUCUUUAUCACAGCAAAUUGAAGUACUCUACUCAGAAGCAAACAAGAAUCUAGUCCUAAUUUUUUCAUGUCCUUUUGUGUUUGUAGUUGUUCUUUAACAUGGACACGCCUCUAUAUAACUGGAAAUUGGCUGUACAUGGUUUCUGCCACAUGCUCUAAAUCCGUGACCAUAUGUGCUGACAAUCAGGUCCUUUCUGUCGACUUCCGAUUCCUUUUGCUUUAAAACACAAAAGCUAAAACCUUAC
rnacentral:lncRNA from 1 species